GCCGGAGGCGACCGCCACGUGGAGAGUCGAUUAAAACCAGGCGACUCGGGACCCUUAGGGGCUCGGCAUACUGCUCAGUAACACGUGGAUAACCUGCCCUAUCGUCCUGGAAGAACCCUCGGGAAAACAUGAGAAUAAAGCCCAGGAAAGCUUCACAAGGCCUGGAAACGCGUUCGCUGAACUCAAGCGCUAGGAUAGAGGUCCGUGCGGCCGUAUGCAGUCUUGUCAGGGGGAUGUAUAAGCGACCACCCAUAGCGCUUCGACCGCGCUACCGGAGUGUUUGCGGACGACUAUAGGCCCCGGAAGAGUGGAUUUCCUGAGACGACGAACUCGCAGACUCUCUGAACGGCGGUGUCAGUCAAGUCGCGAACAACUGUCACCACUGCCAGGAAACAUGCGACGAGGGAACUCGCAAGUGCGUAUCACUAUAUCGGUAGCGUUUUCCUUGACUUAUUACAUCUGGUCAUUCGGAAUAAGCGGCUGGGAAAGACCAGGUGCCAGCCAGCCGCGGUAUUAGCCGGCAGAUCAAGUGGUCGUCGCUUUUAUUGGGCAUCAAACGUC
rnacentral:rRNA from 1 species